CCUACGGGAGGCAGCAGUGGGGAAUAUUGGGCAAUGGAGGAAACUCUGACCCAGCAACGCCGCGUGAAUGAUGAAGGUCUUCGGAUUGUAAAGUUCUUUUCUAAGGGAAGAAGAAAGCGACGGUACCCUAGGAAUAAGCCUCGGCUAACUACGCGACAGCAGCCGUAGUAAUACGUAGGAGGCGAGCGUUAUGCGGAAUGACUGGGCGUAAAGGGUGCGUAGGUGGUUUGGCAAGUUAGUAGCGUAACUCCAAGGCUCAACCUUGGAACUACUUCUAAAUCUGUUGGACUUGAGUGCAGGAGAGGCAACCGGAAUUCCUAGUGUAGCGGUGGAAUGCGUAGAUAUUAGGAGGAACACCAGUGGCGAAGGCGGGUUACUGGACUGUAACUGACGCUGAGGCACGAAAGCGUGGGGAGCAAACAGGAUUAGAUACCCCAGUAGUC
rnacentral:rRNA from 1 species